rnacentral:rRNA from 1 species
UACGUAGGUGGCGAGCGUUAUCCGGAAUUAUUGGGCGUAAAGGGUGCGCAGGCGGCAGGAUAAGUCUAAGUUGAAAGCGUGGGGCUCAACUCCAUGAUGGCUUAGAAACUGUCCAGCUAGAGUACAGGAGAGGGCAAUGGAAUUCCAUGUGUAGCGGUAAAAUGCGUAGAUAUAUGGAGGAACACCAGUGGCGAAGGCGGUUGCCUGGCCUGUAACUGACGCUCAUGCACGAAAGCGUGGGGAGCAAAUA